UACGGAGGGGGCGAGCGUUGUCCGAAGUUACUGGGCGUAAAGCGCGCGUAGGCGGGGCGGAAAGUCCGCUGUGAAAGCCCGAGGCUUAACCUCGGCGGGUCGGUGGAUACUUCCGUUCUUGAAGGUGCUAGGGGGAGAUGGAAUUCUCGGUGUAGCGGUGAAAUGCGUAGAUAUCGAGAGGAACACCUGCGGCGAAGGCGGGUUGCUGGGCUGACACUGACGCUGAUGCGCGAAAGCUAGGGGAGCGAACGGG
rnacentral:rRNA from 1 species